AUCGUGUCUCUGCCUUUUGGCUGAGAUCAAGUGUAGUAUCUGUUCUUAUCAGCUUAAUAUCUGAUACGUCCUCUAUUCAAGGACAAUAUAUUAACUGGAUUUCUGGAGCUAGGAGUUGGAAUAGGAGCUUGCUCCAUCACUCCACACAUCGAACUGGUAUUGCAGUACCUCUAGGAAUGGUGCUCCCCCU